ACAAGAGGGCAUGGUAUUGUAUGGAUCGGAAGAUAUGCCCUGAAUAUGCUUUCUGUCACGUCUAUCUAUUAAUAAAUAUUGCUAAGUUGCUAUUUCGUUCGCGACACAACACAUCCAAUUUCAUUUAUUAAAGCAAUUAGUGCGAUGAGCUGGAUUGCCUACCAAGAGAACACUCAUUAAUGUCUGUGGAUGACCUAUUUUCAUUAGGUUUUCAAGCAGCUAGCAAGCAAACACCAGAACUGUGAAGGGGAUUUCUGUUUCAUGUUUUAUGCGCUAUUUUAAUGCAAAACCUUCUCAUUAUACAGCAGUGGCUGUUAACCCUUAGUCGCUUAUACCCGGGGAGUUGGAAAGAAGCCCAUAUAGGAAGGGCCACUAUUGCAACAUUUUUUCCUGCUGUUAAGCGCCAUGGUGCUGCUGCAAAGAACAGGCAUGGCUGCCACAGCCCACCCGUGCAGCAGGUAACAUGCAAAUUGGCGUAGGUACCUUAUGAUAAAAAUCAGUCCAGCUUCUGUAUUGAAUUGCUCACAUAGCUGGUCGAGCCUUACACUGUUGUAUUUUGGGGGUUCCUCCAACUUCUGAAGAAAAUUGGUCCAGCUAUUUCAUUGGAUUGCAAAUAUCCUGGUUUGUUAUCAAAUUUGUUGCUGUAUUAUAGAGCAUGUGUGACACUUGGUCAUUGCAGCAAAUGGCUGUACUUUUCAGGAUACUUAAGAUGCAUUCCCCAUCUUUAGUUCCAGCAUUGCUGUUACUAUAACCAUGAGGUCUGCUUUAACGUAUGUGAAGGUGAUUGCAAGCAGAGAAGUAGUAUUGAACUUGGGAAUUUACUCCAUUUAUUGCUGCCAAAUGUAAUGCUGUAUUGCCAGAACAGUCAUGGUCGCGGCUCACCAUUUCCUCUGCUUUUUUUGUUUUUUUGUUUGCCAAUAGACCCCUCACUACCAGAAUUUGAUUAUAUUCCACGGCAAAGUGUAGAGCAGAUUUCUGAUCUAAAUUGCGGAUUUUGAUACAGUGACAUUGUGGACAUAAAUUUUAACAUAAUCAACAAAUUUAUGUCCACAAAGCCAGACUCUGGAAAUCAGCAAUUAAGAUCAGAAAUAUGCUCUACAUUUUGCCAUGGAAUAUGAUCAAAUUGAGGUAAUGAGGGGUCUACCGGCAAACAAAAAGGCAAAAAAAGCAGGAGAAAAGGUGAGCCGCGACCAUGACCGUUCUGGCAAUACAGGUUUACAUUUGGCAGCAAUAAAUGAAGUGAAUUCCCAGGUUUGAUUAUACUUCCUUGCUUACUCCAUGAUGAGGACUAUUUUUUAUAUUUAGGCUUCAUCCAUGUACUUAUAAAUUAGUUGAAAAUUGGUUCCUUGUUAUGUCAGGCAAUUUGCGCUACAGAUCUCUAGGAUGCUAGAAAUCCCAAGCAACGUUGAGUAAAAUUUUACUUUAAGAAAUUUUAUAGAUUGAUGAUAACAUCAAAUCUUUAGAUUUAAGCUCUCCGUGACUAGUUUGGGGUUUGCCUGCUGACUAUUUUUGUCAAGGAGAUCAUCGGAUGGAUUGAUAUGCCAUCCAAGUUAACUGGAUGGGUUUAUAUACUCUCUUAAACUUGACGGGUUUCCAAUAAAAAGCAAAUUUCGAAGAA